GAUAAACGCUAGCGACAGGCCUAACACAUGCAAGUCGAGGGGUAACAUUACUACUUGUAGUAGAUGACGACCGGCGCACGGGUGAGUAACGCGUAUGAAACCUACCUUUUACAAUGGGAUAGCCCUAAGAAAUUGGGAUUAAUACCAUAUAGUUCUAUAAGUUCGCAUGAAUUAAUAGAUAAAGUUUAAUUGUGGUAAGAGAUGGUCAUGCGUAACAUUAGCUAGUUGGUAAGGUAGAGGCUUACCAAGGCGACGAUGUUUAGGGGUUCUGAGAGGAAGGUCCCCCACACUGGUACUGAGACACGGACCAGACUCCUACGGGAGGCAGCAGUGAGGAAUAUUGGUCAAUGGACGCAAGUCUGAACCAGCCAUGUCGCGUGAAGGAAUACUGUUCUACGAAUUGUAAACUUCUUUUAUAUAGGAAUACAGGUCAGUACGUGUACUGAUAAGAAUGUACUAUACGAAUAAGCACCGGCUAACUCCGUGCCCAGCAGCCGCCGUAAC
rnacentral:rRNA from 1 species